rnacentral:rRNA from 1 species
GUGGGGAAUCUUAGACAAUGGGCGCAAGCCUGAUCUAGCCAUGCCGCGUGAGCGAUGAAGGCCUUAGGGUUGUAAAGCUCUUUCGUGGGGGAAGAUAAUGACGGUACCAGCAGAAGAAGCCCCGGCUAACUCCGUGCCAGCAGCCGCGGUAAUACGGAGGGGGCUAGCGUUGUUCGGAAUUACUGGGCGUAAAGCGCGCGUAGGCGGACCAGAAAGUUGGAGGUGAAAUCCCAGGGCUCAACCUUGGAACUGCCUUCAAAACUCCUGGUCUGGAGUUCGAGAGAGGUGAGUGGAAUUCCGAGUGUAGAGGUGAAAUUCGUAGAUAUUCGGAGGAACACCAGUGGCGAAGGCGGCUCACUGGCUCGAUACUGACGCUGAGGUGCGAAAGCGUGGGGAGCAAACAGGAUUGGAAACCCUAGUAGUCC